rnacentral:rRNA from 1 species
CGGUAAUUCCAGCUCCAAUAGCGUAUACUAAAGUUGUUGCAGUUAAAAAGCUCGUAGUUGGAUUUCUGCGGGGACGGAGCGGCCGGACGCAACUUGCGUCUCGAGCUAGCGCUUUCCCCGCAUCCUGCCGCGAACCGUGCUACCAUUAGCUUGGUGGCGCUGGGGAUCGGCUCGAUUACUUUGAGAAAAAUAGAGUGUUCAAAGCAGGCCACACGCCUUGAAUAAGUUAGCAUGGAAUAAUGACUAAGGACUUCGGUUCUAUUUUGUUGGUGUUCGGGACUGAAGUAAUGAUUGAUAGGGACAGUUGGGGCGGUCUGUAUUCCAAAGCGAGAGGUGAAAUUCUUAGACCUUCGGAAGACAAACAGCUGCGAAAGCGUUCCGCAAGGAUGUUCCCUUUGAUCAAGAACGAAAGUUGGGGGAUCGAAGACGAUCAGAUACCGUCGUAGUCUCAACUAUAAACUAUACCAGCUAGGGAUCGGUCAACGUUUAAUCAUUCGACUUGAUCGGCACCUUAUGAGAAAUCAAAGCAUCUGGGUUCCGGGGGGAGUAUGGUCGCAAGGCUGAAACUUAAAGGAAUUGACGGAAGGGCACCACCAGCCGUGGAGCCUGUGGCUUAAUUUGACUCAACACGGGAAAACUUACCAGGUCCAGACAUAGUAAGGAUUGACAGAUUGAUAGCUCUUUCUUGAUUCUGUGGGUGGUGGUGCAUGGCCGUUCUUAGUUGGUGGAGUGAUUUGUCUGGUUAAUUCCGUUAACGAACGAGACCCCAGCCUGCUAAAUAGCGCGGCUGAGCUUUGCUCGGUGCGAGCUUCUUAGAGGGACUAUGAUGCGCGAUAGCACAUGGAAGUUUGGGGCAAUAACAGGUCUGUGAUGCCCUUAGAUGUUCUGGUCCGCACACGGGCUACACUGGCGCCUGCAACGAGCAUAUCAGCUGGCCCGAGAGGGUCUUGGCUAAUCUUUUGAACCGGCGCCGUGCUUGGGAUUGACCAUUGCAAUUGUUGGUCAUGCAACGAGGAAUGCCUUGUAAACGCGAGUCAUCAGCUCGCAUUGAAUACGUCCCUGCCCUUUGUACACACCGCCCGUCGCUCCUACCGAUGAAUGUUCCGAUGAAAUUUUCGGAGAGCGCCAGAGAACGGGGCUCUGCCUUGCAGAUCUGGAGGCUCAAAGUCACUUAAAUCUGAACAUUUCGAGGAAGGAGAAGUCGUAACAAGGUAACC